GAUGAACGCUGGCGGCGUGCUUAACACAUGCAAGUCGAACGGAAAGGCUCCUGCUUGCAGGGGUACUCGAGUGGCGAACGGGUGAGUAACACGUGGGUGAUCUGCCCUGCACUUCGGGAUAAGCCUGGGAAACUGGGUCUAAUACCGGAUAGGACCACAUUUUGGAUGGUGUGGUGGAAAGUUUUUCGGUGUGGGAUGAGCUCGCGGCCUAUCAGCUUGUUGGUGGGGUAAUGGCCUACCAAGGCGUCGACGGGUAGCCGGCCUGAGAGGGUGUACGGCCACAUUGGGACUGAGAUACGGCCCAGACGCCUACGGGAGGCAGCAGUGGGGAAUAUUGCACAAUGGGCGCAAGCCUGAUGCAGCGACGCCGCGUGGGGGAUGACGGCCUUCGGGUUGUAAACUGCUUUCGCUAGGGACGAAGCGGAAGUGACGGUACCUGGAGAAGAAGCACCGGCUAACUACGUG
rnacentral:rRNA from 1 species